GUGCCAGCAGCGGCGGUAAUACGGAGGAUGCGAGCGUUAUCCGGAUUUAUUGGGUUUAAAGGGUGCGUAGGCGGCGAUUUAAGUCAGCGGUAAAAUUUCUGGGCUCAACCCAGUCUGGCCGUUGAAACUGGAUUGCUUGAGUACGGAUGAAGUAGGCGGAAUUUGUAGUGUAGCGGUGAAAUGCAUAGAUAUUACAAGGAACUCCAAUUGCGCAGGCAGCUUACUAAACCGUCACUGACGCUGGUGCACGAAAGUGUGGGUAUCAAACAGGAUUAGAUACCCUGGUAGUCCAACACAGUAACGAUGAUUACUCGCUGUUUGCGAUAUACAGU
rnacentral:rRNA from 1 species